GACGAACGCUGGCGGCGUGCUUAACACAUGCAAGUCGAGCGGUAAGGCCCUUUCGGGGGUACACGAGCGGCGAACGGGUGAGUAACACGUGGGUGACCUGCCCUUAGCUCUGGGAUAAGCCUGGGAAACUGGGUCUAAUACCGGAUAUGACUCCAUGACGCAUGUUGUGGGGUGGAAAGCCUUGUGCGGCUAGGGAUGGGCCCGCGGCCUAUCAGCUUGUUGGUGGGGGUGAUGGCCUACCAAGGCGACGACGGGUAGCCGGCCUGAGAGGGCGACCGGCCACACUGGGGACUGAGACACGGCCCCAGACUCCUACGGGAGGCAGCAGUGGGGAAUCUUGCGCAAUGGGCGAAAGCCUGACGCAGCGACGCCGCGUGAGGGAUGACGGGCCUCGG
rnacentral:rRNA from 1 species